UCGCCGCCGCUGCUUAGAGUCUCCCUGGUAUCCACGCGCGGGAAAGAAGAGCUUCACUAAGGACUAGGUUGCGCCACGCAGCGCAGCGGGAUGGCGUCGUGCGCAGCAAGGCCCGCGAGGAGAAGCGAGCAGAAACACGCCGGAGAGGAGCCGGAAGGAAGCACCUCGUGGGCCCAGGCGCCCAGUCUUAGAGCCGCUUUCCUGGGACUAAGCCCCACUGGAGCUCAGGUUUUAAAACAAAACACAGUGGAACAACUGCACAGCCUUUCCAUGUGUGAAUGACCCAUCACAAAGCUGUGAGCCCGACCAUAGGCAGAAGCCAUCUUCUGGAGGUGCUCUCACUUUCAAAGGAGCAACGUCACCACCUUUUUGCGUCCCUCAAACAGAGUCAACCAAAUCAGGUGCCCCUUCCUUUGUCUUGGCGCCUGUCUCUGCAAUGUCCUGACACUACAGCAGUUCCAGUAGAACCGUGGUGGAAAGUUUAUUGUUAUGGGGCAGCCAGU